rnacentral:rRNA from 1 species
UUUGAGGCUCCGUAAUUGGAAUGAGUACACUUUAAACCCUUUAACGAGGAUCUAUUGGAGGGCAAGUCUGGUGCCAGCAGCCGCGGUAAUUCCAGCUCCAAUAGCGUAUACUAAAGUUGUUGCGAUUAAAAAGCUCGUAGUUGGAUCUCAGGCAUGGGCGCACGGUCCGCCUCGCGGCGGUCACUGUGUGUAUGUUUCCCAUCCUACGCUUCCCGGUUGUUAGCCCAUGGUGCUCUUCAUUGAGCGUUUUGGGUGGCCGGAACGUUUACUUUGAAGAAAUUAGAGUGUUCAAAGCAGGCACGUCGCCUGAAUAAUGGUGCAUGGAAUAAUGGAAUAGGACCUCGGUUCUAUUUUGCUGGUUUUCGGAACACGAGGUAAUGAUUAAGAGGGACAGACGGGGGCAUCCGUAUUGCGGUGUUAGAGGUGAAAUUCUUGGAUCAUCGCAAGACGAACUACUGCGAAAGCAUUUGCCAAGAAUGUCUUCAUUAGUCAAGAACGAAAGUCAGAGGUUCGAAGACGAUCAGAUACCGUCGUAGUUCUGACCAUAAACGAUGCCAACUAGCGAUCCGCUGGUGUUGCUUCAUCGACUCUGCGGGCAGCUUCCGGGAAACCAAAGUCUAUGGGUUCCGGGGGAAGUAUGGUUGCAAAGCUGAAACUUAAAGGAAUUGACGGAAGGGCACCACCAGGAGUGGAGCCUGCGGCUUAAUUUGACCCAACACGGGGAAACUCACCCGGUCCGGACACUGUAAGGAUUGACAGAUUGAUAGCUCUUUCUUGAUUCGGUGGGUGGUGGUGCAUGGCCGUUCUUAGUUGGUGGAGCGAUUUGUCUGGUUAAUUCCGAUAACGAACGAGACUCUAGCCUACUAAAUAGUUCGCCGAUCCUUUAUGCGUCGGCGUCAACUUCUUAGAGGGACAAGUGGCGUUUAGCCACACGAGAUUGAGCAAUAACAGGUCUGUGAUGCCCUUAGAUGUCCGGGGCCGCACGCGCGCUACACUGAAGGAAUCAGCGUGGCUAUCUCCCUGGUCCGAGAGGAUUGGGAAACCCGUUGAAUCUCCUUCGUGAUAGGGAUUGGGGCUUGAAAUUCUUCCCCAUGAACGAGGAAUUCCCAGUAAGCGCGAGUCAUCAGCUCGCGUUGAUUACGUCCCUGCCCUUUGUACACACCGCCCGUCGCUACUACCGAUUGAACGGUUUAGUGAGGGCCUCGGAUUGGUCUCGGCCCGCCCUUCACCGGGCGGCGCCGUUGGUCGAGAAGACGCUCGAACUUGAUCGUUUAGAGGAAGUAAAAGUC